AUUGAACGCUGGCGGCGUGCCUAACACAUGCAAGUCGAGCGGUAACAGGUGUAGCAAUACAUGCUGACGAGCGGCGGACGGGUGAGUAACGCUUGGGAAUCUGCCUAUUAGUGGGGGACGAACCCGGGGAAACCGUCGGGCGUAAUACCGCAUACGCUCUACGGAGGAAAGACCGGGGACCGCAAGGCCUGGCGCUAAUAGAUGAGCCCAAGUCGGAUUAG
rnacentral:rRNA from 1 species